rnacentral:tRNA from 1 species
GUGGCUGUAGCUCAGUUGGUUAGAGCGCCAGGUUGUGGCCCUGGAGGUCGGGGGUUCGAAUCCCCUCAGUCACCCACCA